rnacentral:rRNA from 1 species
AUUGAACGCUGGCGGCAUGCUUUACACAUGCAAGUCGAACGGUAACAGGCCUUCGGUUGCUGACGAGUGGCGAACGGGCGAGUAAUGCAUCGGUACGUGCCCAGCUGUGGGGGAUAACGCAGCGACAGCUGUGCUAAUACCCCAUGUGAUCUGAGUAUCAAAGCGGGGGACCAAGCAGCAAUGUUUCGCCUCGCGCCUCUGGAUCCGCCGAUGUCGGAUUAGGUAGUUGGUGGGGUAAAGGCCUACCAAGCCGACGAUCUGUAGCUGGUCUGAGAGGACGACCAGCCACACUGGAACUGAGACACGGACCAGACUCCUACGGGAGGCAGCAGUGGGGAAUAUUGGACAAUGGGCGCAAGCCUGAUCCAGCAAUGCCGCGUGCGGGAAGAAGGCCUUCGGGUUGUAAAGCGCUUUUGUACGGAACGAAAAGGCUCUGGCUAAUACCUGGGGCUGAUGACGGUACCGUAAGAAGAAGCACCGGCUAACUACGUG